rnacentral:rRNA from 1 species
UACGGAGGAUGCAAGCGUUAUCCGGAAUGAUUGGGCGUAAAGCGUCCGCAGGUGGCUAUGUAAGUCUGCUGUUAAAGAGUCUAGCUCAACUAGAUAAGAGCAGUGGAAACUACAAGGCUAGAGUACGUUCGGGGCAGAGGGAAUUCCUGGUGUAGCGGUGAAAUGCGUAGAUAUCGGAAGGAACAUCAGUGGCGAAAGCGGCUUCCUGGACCAGUACCGACGUUCAGGCACGAAAGCGUGGGGAGCAAACAGG